GCUGGGGUAGCUCAGUGGUCGAGCACAUGCUUAGUAUGCAUGAGGUCCUGGGUUUGAUCCCCAACACCUCCA
rnacentral:tRNA from 1 species